GUGGUGAUAAUGGUGACGACGAUGGUGAUGAUGGUGAUGUGGGUGAUGGCAAAGAAUGCAACCAGUGGAGGCGCUGUAAAAAGGCAGGAGGAGAGUGCCUGAGGACUUGUCGUGAGGGAGACACUCUGCUUGAAGGGAGAUGCAUGAAGGGCUGCUCCUGCUGCGUUCCUGAAGGUGGUGAUAGUGACGAUGGUGGUGAUGGUGACGAUGACGCCGAUGAAGAUGGUGAAGAUGA